rnacentral:rRNA from 1 species
UCAAAAACAUGUUUGUUUGUAGUUAUAAGGAAUUUAGCCUGCCCCCUGAUGAGCGAGUAUUAAAGGGCCGCAGUAUUCUAACUGUGCAAAGGUAGCAUAAUCAUUAGGUUUUUAAUUGGAAUCUUGUAUGAAUGGCUGAACAAAAGAAAAUCUCUCUUUAUAUUAAUUUUGAAUUUAACUUUUAAGUGAAAAGGCUUAAAUAUCCCAGGGGGACGAUAAGACCCUAUAAAACUUUACAUUAUAAUUGAAAUUUAGUUUAAUUUUGUAAUAAAAGUUUAAUUAGGUUAUUUGUUAUGUUGGGGAGACAGAGGUAAAAUUUUUUAUUAACUGCUUUAUGAUUUCAACAGUUAUUACUGUGUAUAAUAGAUCCUUUCUAAAGAUUAAUAAGUUAAGUUACUUUAGGGAUAACAGCGUAAUUUCUUUUAAGAGUUCUUAUCGAAAAAGAAGAUUGCGACCUCGAUGUUGAAUUAAAAUAUCUAUAUAAUGAAGAAGUUAUAUAAGAAGGUCUGUUCGACCUUUAAAAUUUUACAUGAUUUGAGUUCAAACCGGCGUGAGCCAGGUUGAUUCCUAAUCUCUUAAUA